GACAGAGGUUGCAAACGUUGUUCGGAAUUACUGGGCAUAAAGCGCACGUAGGCGGUCCGUUAAGUCAUGUGUGAAAUCCCCCGGCUCAACCGGGGAAUUGCGCCUGAUACUGGCGGGCUAGAGAUCGAUAGGGGUGAGCGGAACUCCAGGUGGAGCGGUGAAAUGCGUAGAUAUCUGGAGGAACACCGGUGGCGAAAGCGGCUCACUGGAUCGAAACUGACGCUGAGGUGCGAAAGCUAGGGUAGCAAACAGG
rnacentral:rRNA from 1 species